CAGAAUUUCUGUGCCCCGCCUCUCCCACCAUCUUCCCCCCCCCCCAAAAAAAAGGCAGACAGCAAAGAUCUGAAACAAGCUGUGCAGGCCAACCGAGGAGGCUUCAUACCUGGACGGGGACCAGACCCCACCGGGAGCCCCGGAGCUCCCGCUGAGCUCGGGGAGGAGGCGAAACGGACCAAACAAAAACACAAGCAGGCAUCCGCACGUGUGAAGGUCUCGUGUGCAUAUAUUGGAAUCUUCAAAGAUGGCUCAUUACAGAUGAACUGCAAACCCACAGUAUUUUGGGUUCUGUGCUUCUUUCGAGUGCCAAGCGAGCUCCGUAAUCACCAGCACAGCAGUCACAUGACACAACUGACACCCUGGAGAUAUUUGGAAAGUGGGGUUGUGGGGGGUGCUAAAAAGGUACAGCGGCGACAGAAUAGAAUGCUGAGCGCAUUUAAACGCCGCCAAGUGUCUGUGCCGGAGAGUCCCCGGCAAAAGCUGGCGAGAAGUGAUGGAGAAAGUCAUUAAGAGAAGCCUGUUCAAGUAGAUAGGCCCCGAAAGGAGAUUUGAAAAGGGGGAACUGAUUGCGCUUGUCUCAAUGCGCCUCUUCACCAGUUCUCAGCACCUCGAGGCUUACGGAGCGCUUUCAAAGGCGCCCUCCGCGCCGCACAGCUCCAGCUGCCGACGCCGCUUUUGGGUGUGUUUGAGAAAAAUGUUGAUCCACAUCCUUCUAUCUUCCCUAUCAAUUCAUUUGAACUGCUCGCGCCAUAUUUCAAAUACCACAAAUGUCCAAUGAUUAAGAUUAAAUUGAGAUACUAUUGAAUGUGUUAUGUUAGUGGAACAUAUUAGACCUUCAUUAGUCCUGCAAUAGCAUUUUUUUUUUACAGCAAUUAUAAGGGUUGCGUCAGGAAGGGCAUCCGGCGUAAAAAUUGUGCCAAACAUAUGUGCGUUCAUCUGAGAUGACACGCUGUGGCGACCCCGAAAGGGAC